ensembl:lncRNA novel transcript, antisense to PTCH1
GAACAGUCUUCUUGCCAUUAUCCAGCCUGGGCCUCUCUUCAUUGGCCUCCCACUUGAGCCGACAUGGGGGAGAAGACAAUGCGAGUCUCCACCUUCGCACGCAGGCUCCCUGGCCUCCGGUGAAUACCACGCUGGCCUCAUUUAUCUCCUGCACUGUUCCUUCCCUCUGCAUCUGUGCAGGGAGACUCACGUCACUGGGGGCCACUUUCAUGAUUUUGUUGCCAUCAGGAUUAGCUGGAUUAGGGGCCAGUACAUAAGGACCCCCUGGUGCCGUGAGGAAGUUUCAUCACCGGGUCAGCAUGGUGUGAACUAUAUUCUGUCAACACCACCACUUCUUAUAGCCACCAACCAAAAAACGGAAGGGUGGAGGUGGGGGCGUGGCAGAGAAAAUACCUCAAGUGCAAAAUGUAUAAACUCAUCAUAGCAAUAAAUUCCCGCAUCAUGCAUUUCAAAGUA